CCCGCCUGGCCGGCACCACAGCGCCCCCAGCCCCCGCCGCUCCGCGCCUGCACGCCGAGCCCGGCCGGCUCCCUGCGCCCCCACACAAAGUCCCAGCACUCGGUAAACUUUCCCCGGCUCCUGGGGAGAAAAGGCGACAGGGAAGCGUCGGCGAGAAGGGGCAGGAGAGGGGGGGCAGGAAGACAGACAGGCGCGGGAAGAGGAGCGGCCGCCGGCAGCCCCACCGCCCGCCCGCCGCCUCGGCCGCCCUUUAUGGCCCCGGCCGCCGGGGGGGAACGGGAAGCGGGGAAAGAGAGCAGCCCGGGACGGAGCGGACGAAGCGGCGACAGCCCCGGCAGCGCCGGCUCCGGCGCCAUCUUGGGCUGAUCGAUGAAUUGAACAAAGAGGAUCAAUUUCCGAUGGGGCCGAUGAAAGAGCCUUGGAGUUCCUGUCUUCACCCUUUCUCCGCUGCCUCCCUGCUCUACCAGUCUGUUCUGUGUCCAAGCAACUGCAAAAAGACAUUUCAAAGGCUCCUGCCGUGCCGUGGGGAUGUUUUCUCUUGUUAGUUUGGACUGCAGGCUGUUUGCUGCGGGAGUCAGGUCGCGUGGCGUUAUCGCCGGGUGGAAGUGGAAGUGGAAGCUCCGUGGCUGGAUCCCAGAGCCUUCAGCUGUGCGGUUCCGAGGACAAACAGCACAGCUGAGUUUAGGAAGUGCUGAGAAACCUUAACCCUGCCGGAAGACAAACGCUGCGCACCGAUAAUUCCUAUUGUCUUCCGUGCGGGAUCCAGUCCCUUCCUUGCCAUUUUGUGUGGCAGCGAGCCUGAGGAAAUCUGGCUUGACAGCUCUGUUUGUGCAGAGUGCUGGAUUUCUUCAGGCUGCCUGCUGCAAAGACCCCGCAGGCUUCAGAGCACCUCGGAGCAAGCGGCAGUUCCCUUGGUGUUCCUGCUGAGAGGUACCUGUGUAGGGUGCAGGAAGGACCUUGGGAAACUGGGUGCGUUCUGGCAAGAAGAUGAUUAGAAGGAAGUUUCCUGGCAUUACUGUGAUUGGAGAAAUCAGUCUCAUCUCUCUCGAUCCGAGGAAGGGUUUCCUAAGGUUAGGUUUGAGCUGUGUAAAUGCUAACGGCUUUCAGCACGUGCUAACAGAGCCCUGAAAGAGUCAGCACAAGGCAUGUGCAGUUUGAAAUCUGAAAUGACAGCAGGGACUAAGAGCUCUUCAGAAAGAUCUCCAAGUAUGUUGCACAGAUUCCUGCUUAAUUUUUCUCCCAGGUGUAGGCACACAGGCACCAUUUUAGGAACGAAGCAAAUCCCUGAUUGGAAUUUGUUUCCUAUUAGCUUCGUGUCAUGGAGUGUCACUGGCACAGGUGGUUCAGGAGCACAUGUGCACACUGAGACAUCACCAGCAACUGGUGCACAUUGUGCUUCACAUCUCACUGCUCAGACUGCUGCAGAAAAUGGACCUUUACUCCAGGGGUCCCAAACUUGUCAGAAACAAUUGGUUGUCACAGCUGCUCCUUUGGGCAUGAAGGUGUUUUGGUCCACAAGGUCAGUUGGAAUUGCUGGACUUAGGCUUGUGUUUGCCUUGGUGAGUCUGGGACAGCCAGGACACUGAGAGUGCUUCUCCCAGCAUGGCUGUAACUGAGUCUCUUCUCCAUGGACUCUUGUCUUUCCCUCUCCUCUUUUUCACUUAAAGCAGCUCCCGAAUUUCUCAUAAAAGAAUUCCUUAUCUGUGCCCCUGUCUGCUCCUUUCCAGCCCAUUGACCAUGGCUCUCAUCUUUGCAUUUCAUAGAAUCAUAGAAUCAAGCAGGUUGGAAGAGACCUCCCAGAUCAUCCAGCCCAACCUAUCCCCCAGCCCUAGCCAAUCAAUUGGACCAUGGCACUGAGUACCUCAUCCAGUCUUGUCUUGAGCACCUCCAGGGACGGUGACUCCACAACCUCCCUGGGCAGCCCAUUCCAAUGCUAGUCUGUGCAGAACUUCCUCCUAACAUCCAGCCCAGACCUCCCCCAGCACAACUUGAGACUUUGUCCCCUUGUUGUGUUGCUUCUGUUUCCUUCAUCUGCUUUUCAUCCCUAGCUGCCUGUCCCUGCUGAAGAGGAGUGCCUC